UACGUAGGGUGCAAGCGUUAAUCGGAAUUACUGGGCGUAAAGCGUGCGCAGGCGGUUGUGCAAGACAGAUGUGAAAUCCCCGGGCUCAACCUGGGAAUUGCAUUUGUGACUGCACGGCUAGAGUGUGUCAGAGGGGGGUAGAAUUCCACGUGUAGCAGUGAAAUGCGUAGAGAUGUGGAGGAAUACCGAUGGCGAAGGCGGCCUGCUGGGACAGUGCUGACGCUGAGGCGCGACAGCGUGGGGAGCAAACAGG
rnacentral:rRNA from 1 species